rnacentral:lncRNA from 1 species
AUCGCUAAAAGUCUAACAUUGUGGAAAGACAUAAAGUGGACUUCACGUUCAGAUAUCCCCAUUUGUCUUCAUGGUCCUUUGAUAUACUCCUCAGGGCCGCUGUGAGUGACCAUAUUGGAUUUACACUGCACAAGUGGUGGGUGUGUUAUACAUAGACAACAAUGUGACUGCUUUCUAGAGUUACCUAGUGCAACUGCUCCUGCUCUUACUACGACAUUUCUAGUCCUUCUUGUUAUUU